UACGAAGGGGGCUAGCGUUGCUCGGAAUCACUGGGCGUAAAGCGCACGUAGGCGGGUCGUUAAGUCAGGGGUGAAAUCCUGGAGCUCAACUCCAGAACUGCCUUUGAUACUGAGAGUCUUGAGUCCGGGAGAGGUGAGUGGAACUGCGAGUGUAGAGGUGAAAUUCGUAGAUAUUCGCAAGAACACCAGUGGCGAAGGCGGCUCACUGGCCCGGUACUGACGCUGAGGUGCGAAAGCGUGGGGAGCAGACAGG
rnacentral:rRNA from 1 species